UCAGAAGUGCGAAUGCUGACAUAAGUAACGAUAAAGCGGGUGAAAAGCCCGCUCGCCGGAAGACCAAGGGUUCCUGUCCAACGUUAAUCGGGGCAGGGUGAGUCGACCCCUAAGGCGAGGCCGAAAGGCGUAGUCGAUGGGAAACAGGUUAAUAUUCCUGUACUUGGUGUUACUGCGAAGGGGGGACGGAGAAGGCUAUGUUGGCCGGGCGACGGUUGUCCCGGUUUAAGCGUGUAGGCUGAUUUUCCAGGCAAAUCCGGAAAAUCAAGGCUGAGGCGUGAUGACGAGGCACUACGGUGCUGAAGCAACAAAUGCCCUGCUUCCAGGAAAAGCCUCUAAGCAUCAGGUAACAUCAAAUCGUACCCCAAACCGACACAGGUGGUCAGGUAGAGAAUACCAAGGCGCUUGAGAGAACUCGGGUGAAGGAACUAGGCAAAAUGGUGCCGUAACUUCGGGAGAAGGCACGCUGAUAUGUAGGUGAAGCGACUUGCUCGUGGAGCUGAAAUCAGUCGAAGAUACCAGCUGGCUGCAACUGUUUAUUAAAAACACAGCACUGUGCAAACACGAAAGUGGACGUAUACGGUGUGACGCCUGCCCGGUGCCGGAAGGUUAAUUGAUGGGGUUAGCGGUAACGCGAAGCUCUUGAUCGAAGCCCCGGUAAACGGCGGCCGUAACUAUAACGGUCCUAAGGUAGCGAAAUUCCUUGUCGGGUAAGUUCCGACCUGCACGAAUGGCGUAAUGAUGGCCAGGCUGUCUCCACCCGAGACUCAGUGAAAUUGAACUCGCUGUGAAGAUGCAGUGUACCCGCGGCAAGACGGAAAGACCCCGUGAACCUUUACUAUAGCUUGACACUGAACAUUGAGCCUUGAUGUGUAGGAUAGGUGGGAGGCUUUGAAGUGUGGACGCCAGUCUGCAUGGAGCCGGCCUUGAAAUACCACCCUUUAAUGUUUGAUGUUCUAACGUUGGCCCCUGAUCGGGGUUGCGGACAGUGUCUGGUGGGUAGUUUGACUGGGGCGGUCUCCUCCUAAAGAGUAACGGAGGAGCACGAAGGUUGGCUAAUCCUGGUCGGACAUCAGGAGGUUAGUGCAAUGGCAUAAGCCAGCUUGACUGCGAGCGUGACGGCGCGAGCAGGUGCGAAAGCAGGUCAUAGUGAUCCGGUGGUUCUGAAUGGAAGGGCCAUCGCUCAACGGAUAAAAGGUACUCCGGGGAUAACAGGCUGAUACCGCCCAAGAGUUCAUAUCGACGGCGGUGUUUGGCACCUCGAUGUCGGCUCAUCACAUCCUGGGGCUGAAGUAGGUCCCAAGGGUAUGGCUGUUCGCCAUUUAAAGUGGUACGCGAGCUGGGUUUAGAACGUCGUGAGACAGUUCGGUCCCUAUCUGCCGUGGGCGCUGGAGAACUGAGGGGGGCUGCUCCUAGUACGAGAGGACCGGAGUGGACGCAUCACUGGUGUUCGGGUUGUCAUGCCAAUGGCACUGCCCGGUAGCUAAAUGCGGAAGAGAUAAGUGCUGAAAGCAUCUAAGCACGAAACUUGCCCCGAGAUGAGUUCUCCCUGAGACUUAGAGUCUCCUGAAGGAACGUUGAAGACGACGACGUUGAUAGGCCGGGUGUGUAAGCGCAGCGAUGCGUUGAGCUAACCGGUACUAAUGAACCGUGAGGCUUAACCUUACAACGCCGAAG
rnacentral:rRNA from 1 species